ensembl:snRNA U6 U6 spliceosomal RNA
AUAUUUCAGCAACAUUUGUACCCAGAUUGCAACAAUACAGGAAGAUUAGCAUGGCACCUGUGCACCGAUGACAUGCAAAUUCUUGUAUGCUUCUCAUUUUAC